GCCAAGGUGGAGAAACUGGUAAACUCGCUAGCCUUAGGAGCUAGUGCCGCAAGGCUUGUGGGUUCGAAUCCCACCCUUGGCA
rnacentral:tRNA from 1 species